GACGAACGCUGGCGGCGUGCUUAACACAUGCAAGUCGAACGGAAAGGCCCUGCUUGCUGGGUACUCGAGUGGCGAACGGGUGAGUAACACGUGGGUGAUCUGCCCUGCACUUCGGGAUAAGCCUGGGAAACUGGGUCUAAUACCGGAUAGGAGCCAUUUUUAGUGUGAUGGUUGGAAAGUUUUUUCGGUGCAGGAUGAGCUCGCGGCCUAUCAGCUUGUUGGUGGGGUAAUGGCCUACCAAGGCGGCGACGGGUAGCCGGCCUGAGAGGGUGGACGGCCACAUUGGGACUGAGAUACGGCCCAGACUCCUACGGGAGGCAGCAGUGGGGAAUAUUGCACAAUGGGCGCAAGCCUGAUGCAGCGACGCCGCGUGGGGGAUGACGGCCUUCGGGUUGUAAACUCCUUUCGCUAGGGACGAAGCUUUUUGUGACGGUACCUAGAGAAGAAGCACCGGCUAACUACGUG
rnacentral:rRNA from 1 species